UACGGAAGAUCCAAGCGUUAUCCGGAAUCAUUGGGUUUAAAGGGUCCGUAGGCGGUUUUGUAAGUCAGUGGUGAAAGCCCAUCGCUCAACGGUGGAACGGCCAUUGAUACUGCAAGACUUGAAUUACUAGGAAGUAACUAGAAUAUGUAGUGUAGCGGUGAAAUGCUUAAAUAUUACAUGGAAUACCAAUUGCGAAGGCAGGUUACUACUAGUUGAUUGACGCUGAUGGACGAAAGCGUGGGGAGCGAACAGG
rnacentral:rRNA from 1 species